rnacentral:rRNA from 1 species
GACGAACGCUGGCGGCGUGCUUAACACAUGCAAGUCGAGCGGUAAGGCCCCUUCGGGGUACGACGAGCGGCGAACGGGUGAGUAACACGUGAGCAAUCUGCCCUUCACUUUGGGAUAACUCUGGGAAACGAGAGCUAAUACCGAAUACGACCACUUCAGGCAUCUGAUGGUGGUGGAAAGUUCCGGCGGUGAAGGAUGAGCUCGCGGCCUAUCAGGUAGUUGGUGAGGUAACGGCUCACCAAGCCGAAGACGGGUAACCGGUCUGAGAGGAUGUCCGGUCACACUGGGACUGAGACACGGCCCAGACUCCUACGGGAGGCAGCAGCAGGGAAUCUUGGGCAAUGGGCGAAAGCCUGACCCAGCGACGCCGCGUGGAGGAAGAAGUCCUUCGGGCGGUAACUACCUGGACUGGGGGACGGAGGAAGGACGGUACCCCGACGUAGAAAGGGAACGGGCUAACUACGUGCCAGCAGCCGCGGUAAAGAAGUAGUACA